AUCUCUGUGGUGUAGUGGCAGCACACGCCCUAGGUAUGAGUGAAACACGGGUUCAACUCCCGCCUGAGGUC